GGCACCAGCAGCAUGUCACAGCCUAGCUGAAGAGACUGUCUCUCAGGAGAGGAUGCUGUACAGAACUUGCACUACAGAUGCAUAACAAUUUCAGAUGGUGAUGUCCCUGAUGGGUCAAACGGCCGUGAAGGAAAGGGGCACAGCGUGCAUGGUGGGUCACUGAGAUAUGACUAAUAUUAGUGUAGAAAGAUGGAAGAACCUGGAAGAGAGGACACACAAGAAUACCAGCCUUUUGGAAAAAGCCCUUCAUUGUCUCCAUCAUUAAUGUCUUGUGACAUGAGAGCAACUGAUGUGAGCAUGCUCUCAUGACUUUGGAGUACCACCAAGCACCCAGAGAGCAAGGGGGGUUGCUGUGGAAAUUUGCUAAAGAGGCACCAUCAACGUGAAAACACCAUCAUUCAUUUCCAGUCAAACGAAAACCAGUGCUGUCCAUGGC